rnacentral:SRP_RNA from 1 species
GCUGGGCAUGGUGGCGCGUGCCUGUAAUCCCAGCUACUCAGGAGGCUGAGGCAGGAGAAUUGCCUGAACCCGGGAGGUGGAGGUUGUGGUGAGCCGAGAUCGUGCCAUUGCACUCCAGCCUGGGUAACAAGAGCAAAACUCUGUCUCAAAAAAAAAAAAAAAAAUUAAUAUUAUUAUUAUUAUUUUUAAGAAGGAGUCUGGCUCUAUCACCCAAGCUGGAGUGCAGUGGCACAGUCUCGGAUCACUGCGACCUCCACCUCCCAGGUUCAAGCGAUUCUCCUGCCUCAG